UGGGGAAUAUUGCACAAUGGGCGAAAGCCUGAUGCAGCGACGCCGCGUGAGGGAUGACGGCCUUCGGGUUGUAAACCUCUUUCGACAGGGACGAAGCGCAAGUGACGGUACCUGUAGAAGAAGCACCGGCCAACUACGUGCCAGCAGCCGCGGUAAUACGUAGGGUGCGAGCGUUGUCCGGAAUUACUGGGCGUAAAGAGCUUGUAGGCGGUUUGUCGCGUCGUCUGUGAAAACUCACAGCUCAACUGUGAGCUUGCAGGCGAUACGGGCAGACUUGAGUACUGCAGGGGAGACUGGAAUUCCUGGUGUAGCGGUGAAAUGCGCAGAUAUCAGGAGGAACACCGGUGGCGAAGGCGGGUCUCUGGGCAGUAACUGACGCUGAGAAGCGAAAGCGUGGGUAGCGAACAGGAUUAGAUACCCUGGUAGUCCACGCCGUANCGGUGGGUACUAGGUGUGGGUUUCCUUCCACGGGAUCCGUGCCGUAGCUAACGCAUUAANUACCCCGCCUGGGGAGUACGGCCGCAAGGCU
rnacentral:rRNA from 1 species